GGGGGCAACUCCUUCCAGUCGAGUGGCGGACGGGUGAGUAACACGUGGGUAACCUGCCCGGAAGUGUGGAAUACCUCGGGGAAACUCGAGCUAAUACCGCAUGACAUCGCAGGGACGGAAGUCCUGGCGAUCAAAGCGGGGUCGCAAGAUCUCGCGCUACCGGAUGGGCCCGCGCCCGAUUAGCUAGUUGGUGAGGUAACGGCUCACCAAGGCUUCGAUCGGUAACCGGCCUGAGAGGGCGAUCGGUCACACCGGAACUGAGACACGGUCCGGACUCCUACGGGAGGCAGCAGUGGGGAAUCUUGCGCAAUGGGCGAAAGCCUGACGCAGCAACGCCGCGUGGAGGAUGAAGGCCCUUGGGUUGUAAACUCCUGUCGGCUGGGAAGAAAUCGUUCGCGGCUAAUACCCGCGAGCGUUGACUGUACCAGCAAAGGAAGCCCCGGCUAACUCUGUGCCAGCAGCCGCGGUAAUACAGAGGGGGCUAGCGUUAUUCGGAAUUAUUGGGCGUAAAGGGCGCGUAGGCGGCCUUGCGUGUCUUCCGUGAAAUCCCUCGGCUCAACUGAGGACGUGCGGAAGAAACUGCGAGGCUCGAGUCCGGGAGAGGAGGGUGGAAUUCCCAGUGUAGCGGUGAAAUGCGUAGAUAUUGGGAGGAACACCGGUGGCGAAGGCGGCCCUCUGGACCGGUACUGACGCUGAUGCGCGAAAGCGUGGGGAGCAAACGGGAUUAGAUACCCCGGUAGUCCACGCCGUAAACGAUGGGCACUUGGUGUCGCGGGUAUCGACCCCUGCGGUGCCGAAGCUAACGCAUUAAGUGCCCCGCCUGGGGAGUACGGUCGCAAGGCUG
rnacentral:rRNA from 1 species